UGCGUAGGGACCGAGCGUUGUUCGGAUUUACUGGGCGUAAAGGGCGCGUAGGCGGCGCAACAAGUCACUUGUGAAAUCUCCGGGCUUAACCCGGAGCGGUCAAGUGAUACUGUCGUGCUAGAGUGCGGAAGGGGGCUACUGGAAUUCUCGGUGUAGCGGUGAAAUGCGUAGAUAUUGGCUAGAACACCAGUGGCGAAGGCGGCGACCUGGGAAGAUACUGACGCUGAGAGUGC
rnacentral:rRNA from 1 species